rnacentral:lncRNA from 1 species
UGUGUCCCCGAGAAAGUGUCAGAGCCUUUACGUGGACCUUCUCAUGAAAAAGGAAACAGAAUAGUCAAUGGAAAAGGAAAAGGGCCUCCUGCAAAACAUCCUUCCUUGAAGCCUAGCACUGAAGUGGAAGAUCCUGCUGUGAAAGGAGCAGUACAAAGAAAGAAUGUAUAGACAUUGAGAGCAGAACAAACCUUACCAGUGGCUUAGAGGAAGAGCAAGAAAGGUGUGAAAGAAGUGAAAAGAAGCAAUCACAGGUCAAAGAAGGAAAUAAUACAAACAAAAGUGAAAAAAUACAACUAUCAGAAAAUGUAUGUCAUAGUACAUCUUCUGCUGCUGCUGACAGAUUAACCAAACAAAGAAAGGUUGGGAAAACGUAUCCUCAGCAAUUUCCCAAGAAACUGAAGGAAGAGCAUGAUAGAUGCAUCUUAAGACAAGAAAGUGAAGAAAAAACAAAUGUUAAUAUGCUGUACAAAAAAAUAGAGAAGAAUUAGAAAGGAAAGAGAAACAAUAUAAGAAAGAAGUUGAAGCAAAACAACUUGAACCAACUGUUCAAUCACUAGAGAUGAAACUGAAGACUACAAGAAAUACUCCAAAUCAGAUAAAUCAAUCUUUGUUAAAAAUUCUAUAUUUUAAACUUUAUUUUAUCAAUGUUACUUAUAAUAUCCUCUUGAUUUAAUAUAUAAUAUUUUGGUAUAAAACAAACCAGAAAUGUUAUCUCAUUUUCAAAAAAUGAAUGAUGACACUUACAGGUACAAUUAUUAAUAUUUAUUAUAAAUCUUGGCAUCCACAUAGGAUAUUAUUUUAUUACAAAGAGCUUUUGAAAACAAUAAUAUGCCAUAAUAUAUACUUAGUGAUAACCUAUUGAUAAAGAUUUUUUUCCCAGUAAAAUUGUUCCUUGUACUUCCCGCUAUUUCAUAUUGAUUACUGUACCUAAUACUAUAAAGAGGAAACAAAUUAUUGCAAUCACAAAUAAUCUCAUGAUAUUCUAAGAAGAGCUCUAUAAAUUUUAUCUUAUUUACCAUUGGUGUUUUGAAAUAAAAGUUUUCUUUCGUAUUGAUACAUUUACACCACAGAAGUAACUGUGAUCUGUCAGAGAACUAGAAGUAGAGUCAGAAGUCCUGGGGAAAAUCCUGUAUCUUGCUUAUAUUUUUAACAUUUCUUUUUCAAAAUUCUGGUAACUAGAUGAGUUCAUCAAUGAAUGUAUAUAGGAGUGACUAGUAUAAUGUCUAGAUUUAUGAUUUAGUAAAUGUAAUUCUUACAACUGACUAUAAAAGUGUUAAAAGAGUCAAAUUGAAAUAGAAUGUUAUCAGUGAAAUAGAACUGUAGUAACUCUGGGAAAUUUUAUCUGUCCAAAUACAUGUGAAGUAAAGUUCUUACUAUAGGGUGGUGUAAGGGUUAGAUAUCAAAGUGUAAAUGCAAUUUUUUGAUAUAUUUUAAUUUAGUCAAAUUUGUUAAUGCUUUAAUUUAUGCUUUUGAGUUUGUUGUAAUUCAGGGAAAUGCUUUUCUAAUUCUGAAAUUCUUAAAAAUUCUCUGGUGUGCGUGUGUGUGUGUGUGUGUUUACUUUUAUAAAUUCAUUGACUUUAAAUAAAUUUCUGAACUUUUUGGAACUUAUGCUCUAUAAGGUUCAAAGUUUUGCUUCAACUUUUUCUCCAGUUGGAUAUCCACUUACAGUAACCUUUUUAGUAUAUGGAUGUGCAGGUUACUCUUUAACUUCGGAGGUAAUCAUGAUAUGUUAUUUUAUUGCAUACUAGCUAAAACUUUCUUUUGUUUUAUUUAGGAUUUUCAUAAUCAGGAAGAAAUGAAAGAUCUGAUGGAUGAAAAUUGCAUUUUGAAGACAGAUAUUGCUAUACUCAGACAGGAAAUAUGCACAAUGAAAAAUGACAAUGUGGAAAAAGAAAAUAAAUAUCUUAAGGACGUUAAAAUUGUUAAAAAAACAAAUGCUGCCCUUGAAAAGUAUAUAAAACUCAAUGAGGAAUUGAUAACAAAAACAGCAUUCCGGUAUCAACAAGAGCUUAAUGAUCUCAAAGCUGAGAAUACAAGGCUCAAUUCCGAACUGUUGAAGGAAGAAGAAAGCAACAAAAGACUGGAAGCUGAAAUUGAAUCAUCAGUCUAGACUGACUGCUGCUAUAAGUAAACACAGUGAAAGUGUGAAAACAGAAAGAAACCUAAAACUUGCAUUAGAGUGAACACAAGACGUUUCCGUACAAGUAAAAAUGAGUUCUGAUAUUUCCGAAGUAGAAGAUAAGAAUGAGUUUCUUACUGAACAACUUUCUAAAAUGCAAAUUAAACUCAAUACCUUAAAAGAUAAGUUCCGUAAGAAAAGAGAUACUCUCAGAAAAAAGUCAUCGGCUUUAGAAACUCUCCAAACGACCUAAGCCAAACACAGCAGCAAAUAAAGGAAAUGAAAGAGAUGUAUGAAAAUGCAGAAGAUAAAGUGAAUAAUUCCACUGGAAAGUGGAGCUGUGUAGAAGAGAGGAUAUGUCAUCUCCAACAUGAAAAUCCGUGCAUUGAACAGCAACUAGAUGAUGUUCAUCAGAAAGAGGAUCAUAAAGAGAUAGUAACUAAUAUCCAAAGAGGCUUUAUUGAGAGUGGAAAGAAAGACCUCAUGCUAGAAGAGAAAAAUAAGAAGCUAAUGAAUGAAUGUGAUCAUUUAAAAGAAAGUCUCUUUCAAUAUGAGAGAGAGAAAGCAGAAAGAGUAGUGGUUGUGAGACAACUUCAACAAGAAGCGGCUGACAGCCUAAAAAAAUUAACUAUGUUAGAGUCUCCACUGGAAGGCAUAUCACAUUAUCACAUUAAUUUGGAUGAGACACAGGUCCCAAAAAAGAAAUUAUUUCAAGUGGAAAGUCAAUUUGAUGAUCUUAUGGUGGAGAAGGAAGCUGUAUCUUCAAAAUGUGUCAAUUUGGCUAAAGAGAAUCAAGUUUUUCAACAGAAGUUAUUAUCUAUGAAAAAAGUACAACAGGAAUGUGAAAAACUUGAGGAGGAUAAAAAGAUGUUGGAAGAAGAAAUAUUAAAUCUUAAGACACAUAUGGAAAACAGUAUGGUAGAACUUAGUAAACUACAAGAAUAUAAAUCAGAGCUAGAUGAAAGGGCAAUGCAGGCAGUAGAAAAAUUAGAAGAAAUCCAUUUACAGGAACAAGCACAAUAUAAAAAACAAUUAGAGCAGUUAAACAAGGAUAUAAUACAGCUUCACUAAAUAAGAAGGAACUCACACUUAAAGAUGUGGAAUGUAAAUUCUACAAAAUGAAAACUGCUUAUGAAGAGGUUACAACUGAGUUAGAAGAAUAUAAGGAAGGCUUUGCAGCAGCAUUGAAAGCUAACAGUUCCAUGUCAAAAAAAUUAACUAAAUCGAAUAAGAAAAUAGCAAUGAUCAGUAUCAGCUCUUUAUGGAGAAAGAGCAGGUGAAAUAUUUUCUCAGCACUCUUCCUACAAGGCGAGGUCGAGAGUCACCUUGUGUUGAAAAUCUUACUAGUAUAGGACUCAACAGAAAAUAUAUUCCCCAAAUGCCCCUGUUGCUGUAUUGGACACUUGCUCCCAUCUACUUUCUUCUCUAGAAUCCACGGGAUGUCACCACAGUUUUGGCCAGAUGUACAGGUCACAGGGGACUGAAUCUCAUCACCCCACAAACAUACCAUUCAGGUUUUGCCAAGAAUGACACUGUAAAUAUAACAAAGCUUUCGUGCUUGUUAGUGAACACCAACUCAGCUCCUCUCCUGUAUUCAGAAAUCAGGAUGAGAUGAAAACAACGAGCAGGCCAGGCACGGUGGCUCACGCCUGUAAUCCCAGCACUUUGGGAGGCUGAGGCGGGUGGAUCACCUGAGGUCAGGAGUUCGAGACCACCCUGAUCAAAACAUAGAAACCCCAUCUCUACUAAAAAUACAAUAUUAGCCGGGCGUGGUGGCAAAUGCCUGUAAUACCAGCUACUCAGGAGCUGAGGCAGGAGAAUUGCUUGAACCCGGGAGGUGGAGGCUGCAGCGAGCCAAGAUCACACCACUGCGCUCUAGCCUGGGCAACAAGAGUGAAACUCUGUCUCAAAAGAAAAAAAAUUAAAAAUAAAAGAACAAGGAAACAAAAGUAACAAAGCUUGACACCAGAUGAGCCUGAAUCUAACCAAGAAAAGCCCAGAAGAAAUCCCAUUUUGGGUCACUGGCUGCAUGGUAGUAAUACCAUAUACAUAAGGGAAGAGAGGAGGAUGUGGCUUUCACUUUGAAUUUUUUGAGCUUAAGGUAACUUUUGUGUAGCUACAAAGAAGCAUUCAACAGAGAGCUAAACUUAUGAUGGAAAGACUGAAGGGGUCCAAGCUGUAGAGAAACAGGACUGCAAACCACAAAGGGCUGAAUCAGUCAAGGAGAACUGCAGGGCGGGAUGAACAGGGACCAACGGAACAUUUGGAUAAGCUGUUGAGAAGAAAGGAGAAUUCAGAGAAAAAGAACUGUCAGUGAGGUCAUAAUAGGAACUGUUACAGUGAACUAAAUAUGGCCUGGGAAGGACUCUGUACUUCUAGAUUUGAGUCCCUGUGGACAAACUGCAACCUAACUUAAUAGGUAGAAAGACUGAAAACCUAACUUAGGAGUAUGCGCCUGUAACUAUAGCUGAGUCCUGACCAAUCCCAACAGCCAAACUUCUGCCACUCACACACUGCUGAGUGUUCAGCUGUGUUCAAAUAAGGCAAAUGCUGAGCACUGUAACCAGUCCAGUUGCUUCUGGACCUCACUGCUGAGAACUGUAACAGACUCAGGUGCUUCUGGACCUCACUCCUCACUUCAGACUUCUGUACAUCACGUUCCCUUUAUUGUCUAUAAAUCUUCCACCAUGUAGCUGUGCUGGAGUCUCACCAAAUCUGCUGUGAUUCUGGGGGCUGCCUGAUUCGUGAAUCAUUCAUUGCUCAAUUAAGUUCCUUUAAAUUUAAUUCAGCUGAAGAUUUUCUUUUAAUAGAUGGUAUCAGAAGUGGGAUCUGUGGUAGCAGGACUGCUAGGGCCUCCGGAGUUAUAGUGUGGUGAGCAGUGUUGCUAGGGCUUCUAAUGACCCCCAGGAGUGCUGAGGUACAAGAAAGGCACCUGCAAGGACUGCUCUGUGAUGGCAGCAGUGGCCCACGUGGAGAAGUUGCUACGGAGACACUGGCUGCUGUGGGGAGGAGUGGCUGGGGCUGUGCGCUCCUCGAAGCUGGUGGGAGCCAGGAACGGGGGGGGGAGCCCCACCCCUUCUAAAUUGGUAGGCAGGAGCCCCGCCCUCCCAGGCACAGCUGCAGCCAUCCAGCCAUGACUGCAAACCCGGGCAUCUUUGCACUCUCAGAGGCCCAGCAAGCCCCCCUGCCCCGCAGGCUCAGUUGUACCUGGUCCCACCACCUGGCGUCUCCGCUCCCAGAGCCCACUCCAACUUCGGAUCCAAGUUGAGGCUGAACCCGGGUACAGUCGCAACCCAGCCCAGUUUGUGCAAGCUCAGGGCAGUGCUGACAUGCCAGCCCCCUGCCACCUCAGCCCCCUCCAGACUUUGGGCACUGACGAGCACAGGAGGGAGGUUGAGGUGGGGCUAAGGGUGGCUCAGCACUGGCCUGAAGGCACUCCUCAGCUCGAACAGCCUGGGCAUCGUGUGCACAGCUAACCACCGUGCGUCUCUCUCAGCUGCUGAGAGCUGAACAGACGUUGGGAUGACCUGCCUGCAGAAAGGAGCUACCCACUGCAGGUCUCCUCUGAGCUGUACUGUUGCUCAAUAAAGCACCUCUUCACCUUGCUCACCUUCUACUUGCCCACAUACCUCAUUCUUCCUGGACUCAGGACAAGAACUCGGGACCUGCCAACUAGCAGGGCUGAAAGAGUUGCAACAUAAACAGGGCUGAAACGCACCCCUUGCUUGCCAAAUUGCAGGCAAGAAGAAGAGAAGAGAGAAGGAGAGAAGAGCUGUGGCCCUUCAGGGAGCCCAGACCUAGGAGCUCCCCAAGCCAGGGCUGUGACACCUUCUUUGGGGCUCUGCAGUUCCUGCAUCUCUAAGCUUCUGGGCACCACUGCAUUCCCUGAUACCCACAGUGGAAGCUGUUUGCAGUCGGCCUGGUCCAGCUGCAGCCUCACAGGGAGCUGGCACCUGUGCCGGUGCCUGGAGCUGCCCACACCACUGCAGCUGGCAUGCUUGGCUGUGUGCAGUGGCCAGAUCCCAUGCUCGCUUGCUCACACACCCUUCACUGCUCUGUACCCAGCUCACCCUUGGCAGGUGUGGGAUCCAGACCACUAGCAUGAGCCGAGUGGACAGAACGAACCCAGUGGGCUCGAGCAAAACACAGGAUGUUCCAGCAUAAGAAGAUACCUUCUACUCAAGUCCUUGUUCCACCUUUUCAAAUCUCACUGGUCUAUUUCCCAGUGGGUUUCUAAACCAAACACCCAAAAACUCAGAAAAUACAAUGUAAAACAAAGUGAAGAACAAAUAAACAACUCACCAGAGAUUUAUUCGUUUCCUGUUGCUCUUGGAAACACCCAGAGGACACUGGAAACAUAGCUGGGAUAGAAGGCAAAUGACGUGGAUUAAGCAGAGAACUGGUGUGGUGUAGUCCCAGAUUCUUCUGCCCAACACUCUAGACACAUUACCUGGGAAAGCUCUCCUCCCUCCUGAAAAAGAAAAACUUCCCCAUGGGAGAAGAGUCCUUCACGCCUCAUUAGGGGCAUCAAAGACUCAAGUUAAGAUAAGAUACAUCUACAAGUACAUUAAUUGGUAGACAUUAGAUGCACAAUUUAUUUUUGAAUAAAAAUAUGUAUUACCUAUUAAUUUAGUAACAAUAUGAUCUAAAGAUAUAAUCUAAUAAUUUAAUGCAAAGAAACAUUAUAAGUUCACUAAAAUAAAUGUUAUAGAAAUAU